rnacentral:rRNA from 1 species
GACGAACGCUGGCGGCGUGCCUAAUACAUGCAAGUUGAGCGCUGAAGGUUGGUACUUGUACCAACUGGAUGAGCAGCGAACGGGUGAGUAACGCGUGGGGAAUCUGCCUUUGAGCGGGGGACAACAUUUGGAAACGAAUGCUAAUACCGCAUAAAAACUUUAAACACAAGUUUUAAGUUUGAAAGAUGCAAUUGCAUCACUCAAAGAUGAUCCCGCGUUGUAUUAGCUAGUUGGUGAGGUAAAGGCUCACCAAGGCGAUGAUACAUAGCCGACCUGAGAGGGUGAUCGGCCCCAUUGGGACGGAGACACGGCCCAAACGCCUACGGGAGGCAGCAGUAGGGAAUCUUCGGCAAGGGACGAAAGUCUGACCGAGCAACGCCGCGUGAGUGAAGAAGGUUUUCGGAUCGUAAAACUCUGUUGGUAGAGAAGAACGUUGGUGAGAGUGGAAAGCUCAUCAAGUGACGGUAACUACCCAGAAAGGGACGGCUAACUACGUG